UAUUGGUCCUCUCGCAACAAUAGUACGUGAACCUGGUCAGGUCGGGAACGAAGCAGCCACAGCGUAUGACUUGUGUGCCGGGAUGUGGCUGGUAAGA
rfam:Pseudoalteromonas luteoviolacea B = ATCC 29581, WGS project CAPN01000000 data, contig: 60